rnacentral:lncRNA from 1 species
CUUAAUUCAGAAAUAAUGUUGCUAAACGAUUUACAGUCGAUAAUCUUUCGAAAGCAGAAAAACUCAGUGUCAAACAAAGAAUACGCGAAUUAUUUGAGAUAUG